rfam:Gossypium raimondii Chr04_contig_108, whole genome shotgun sequence.
UAUUAAAAAUUUCAUUCAUUUCUACCAUUAAAAAGUGGCGUUGCUAAUAGAUUAACCAAACAGUUACAAGGGGCAUGCCACGUGUGCCUCAUUUUGACAUACGAUGACCAAUUUUAACAGUAGAAAUGGAUGGAAUUUUUAUCA